AAUUGUCUAGAUAAAUAUUUUGGAAAAGCAUUUUUAUUCGAAUAAAAUAAAUAUCAUAAUUUUAUUUAAGAUAUAAGCAAUUCAAGAUUAAAUUUAGUUUCCGAGGGCAAAAAUUAAGUGUCAACAACUGCUCCCUCCCUUUGGGUAGGGUGGAUGCAAAUAACCCUGGACAAAGGGAGUUUGACAUACUUAAUUUUUGUCCAACCAAUAAUUUAUUUCUCAAAAGGGGUUGGUUUGCGCACGAGUUUUAGUAAGUUAUGG
rnacentral:lncRNA from 1 species